CAGUCGAGGGGUAGGGUAGCAAUACCUGAGACCGGCGCACGGGUGCGUAACGCGUAUGCAAUCUACCUUUUACAGAGGGAUAGCCCAGAGAAAUUUGGAUUAAUACCUCAUAGUAUGUAUGAGUGGCAUCACUUAUAUAUUAAAGUCACAACGGUAAAAGAUGAGCAUGCGUCCCAUUAGCUAGUUGGUAAGGUAACGGCUUACCAAGGCGACGAUGGGUAGGGGUCCUGAGAGGGAGAUCCCCCACACUGGUACUGAGACACGGACCAGACUCCUACGGGAGGCAGCAGUGAGGAAUAUUGGACAAUGGGCGCAAGCCUGAUCCAGCCAUGCCGCGUGCAGGAAGACGGUCCUAUGGAUUGUAAACUGCUUUUGUACGGGAAGAAACAGCAGUUCGUGAACUGCCUUGACGGUACCGUAAGAAUAAGGAUCGGCUAACUCCGUGCCAGCAGCCGCGGUAAUACGGAGGAUCCAAGCGUUAUCCGGAAUCAUUGGGUUUAAAGGGUCCGUAGGCGGUUUGGUAAGUCAGUGGUGAAAGCCCAUCGCUCAACGGUGGAACGGCCAUUGAUACUGCCAGACUUGAAUUAUUAGGAAGUAACUAGAAUAUG
rnacentral:rRNA from 1 species